CAACCAUGGAUGAUGGAAAUUGUGAGUCCUGCAAAAUCUGUACGUGGGUUAGGAUAACAGGUUGAGCCAUCUGUUCCUCUAUAGUCAAACGCUUGAUUGGGAUGUUCUAUCCAUGAUGGGAUCAGAUUCAUGAAACUCGACCUGUUGAAGAAGUUUCAGUCCAGCUUCACUCACCGCCUUUCAUUGUCAUCGAGACAACCGACAUUGCUC